rnacentral:rRNA from 1 species
AUUGAACGCUGGCGGCAUGCCUUACACAUGCAAGUCGAAUGGUAAUGCGGGGCAACCUGGCGACGAGUGGCGAACGGGUGAGUAAUGUAUCGGAACGUGACCAGGUGUGGGGGAUAAUUGCCCGAAUGAGCAGCUAAUACCGAAUACGACCUGUGGGUGAAAGCGGGGGAUCGCAAGACCCCGCGCCAUUGGAGCGGCCGAUAUCAGAUUAGCUAGUUGGUGGGGUAAAGGCUCACCAAGCCAACGAUCUGUAGCUGGUCUGAGAGGACGACCAGCCACACUGGGACUGAGACACGGCCCAGACUCCUACGGGAGGCAGCAGUGGGGAAUUUUGGACAAUGGGCGCAAGCCUGAUCCAGCCAUGCCGCGUGCGGGAAGAAGGCCUUCGGGUUGUAAACCGCUUUUGUCAGGGAAGAAAAGACUCCUGUUAAUACCGGGGGUUCAUGACGGUACCUGAAGAAUAAGCACCGGCUAACUACGUGCCAGCCGCCGCAGUAA